AGCGAACGCUGGCGGCAGGCUUAACACAUGCAAGUCGAACGCCCCGCAAGGGGAGUGGCAGACGGGUGAGUAACACGUGGGAACGUACCCUUUGGUUCGGAAUAACUUGGGGAAACUCAAGCUAAUACCGGAUAAGCCCUUAUGGGGAAAGGUUUACUGCCGAAGGAUCGGCCCGCGUCUGAUUAGCUAGUUGGUGAGGUAAUGGCUCACCAAGGCGACGAUCAGUAGCUGGUCUGAGAGGAUGAUCAGCCACACUGGGACUGAGACACGGCCCAGAUUCCUACGGGGGGCAGAGGGGGGGAAUAUGGGAAAAGGGGGGCAACCCGGAUCCGGCCAUGCCGGGGGAGUGAUGAAGGCCUUAGGGUUGUAAAGCUCUUUUCCCCGGGACGAUAAUGACUGUACCGGGAGAAUAAGCCCCGGCUAACUUCGUGCCAGCAGCCGCGGUAA
rnacentral:rRNA from 1 species